rnacentral:lncRNA from 1 species
GUAUGGGAAAAGGUAUGGGCAGUCUGCACUCUAGUGCCUAGACUGCCCUAUAUCCUGCACAUAUGUAGAUUAUAACUAUAAUUUUAUAUAAUACUAAAAUUAGUUAAUUCAUCUAAAGUCUUAGACAUUUAUUGUUAUAUACACUUGUUUUUAAUACUUUAGAUGCUUUUUAUUUAACUAAAUACUAUGACGUGUAAUUUUUAUAAUUUGAUUUAAAAAAUUUAAGAUCAUAUUAUAAUUGCGUUGUGAUGUUUUUUGUUAUCUAUUCUCUUUUUGUAGUUAAAGUAUGAGUAUUGGGUGUAGGUACAAGUGUCCAAGAGUAUGAGGACCGGCACUAAACUUGUUGUCCACAAAGGCAUGAACUCAAGUACAAUGAUUUUUUUAUAAACGCAGUAUGUGGAUGAUAUUAUAGAGUUCGGAUAUGCUCCAUUUAGACUAAGCUCCAUUUAGAGUUUGGAUUCAAGACAUGUGAAAAAAAAUAAAAAAUUUUGCUACUGUUUACCAAAAAAUAAAUAUUUGCUACCAAUUAGCACAACGACGAAAUUCUGAGCAAGUUUCUGAUAUGGUUGCAAACUAGAAAAUUGUAAAAGUAUUCUAAAAUUCACAAAAGCAAUUAGUAAGCAGCACGAAACUAUCACCAAGCGGGGAUAGCUCAGUUGGGAGAGCGUCAGACUGAAGAUCUGAAGGUCGCGUGUUCGAUCCACGCUCACCGCAUUCUUUUUUUUUUUUUUCUUUCUUUCUUCUAUGAAAUUGAUCACCGCAUUUUAGUGUUUUAUUUUUUUAUUUCAUCUUACUGAUAUCCUUUUACACUUCCUCUUUUAAAUUUAAGUCUGUGUUUGGCUUAAAAAUUGAAGUAAAUUUGUUGAGCUUCUUUUACAAAUAUGUAGUUUUUGUCUGUGUGCUCUUUUCCCUCAUGAUAGAAAUUAAGAAUGAUUACUAAUUUCAAAUACAUGUGCUAAAUUAUAAUCUAAUUCAGACCUCUUUAGGAUUGAAAAUUUCAUUGAAAUAUUAGCUAUCAUUCAAGUAGACCAUCCUUAUGGAGUAUGAUACUUUUAUCCAUGUAACUUUAUAACACUCCUGAUCCAAAGUGUAUCCGAUGUCUGUGUUAGUUUCCAACUCAGACAUGACACCGACACAUGUGAUUACAUUGAAUUAUGUCAUUUUAUCAAAUAAUUAUCGGUGUCGAGUGUCAGAAUCACAAACUCAUUGUUUAUUUCAGUCAAUUAAGUUUGACUCAUGCUUCAUUUUAUCAUUCUUUUAGUAACUAUGCAUGUAAAACUACUAAGUGGUGUUGAAUGUUAAUCUUUGUGCAAUUGAUUUCUGAGUUUGUGUUACCCUUUUGAUUAGUAUUUCGCAUUUAACCUUUUCACAAACAAAAUAUAUUGAUCAGUUCAAAUUAUGAUUUUGGCAACAGGUAGGGGAAGAACAUUUUUCAAUUGAAAUUGAUGAGAAGCACAAUCAGGAUUUGUAUGAAAUACUUUAUUUUUCCCUUUUUUUAAAUGUUUUCUAUUCAAUCUCCAUACUUAGUCGCAACAUUUAGUAAAUGAACAAAAAGUUAAACAGCUACUAAAAUCCUUUUGAAAAUUUGAACUAUCUUGUUGAGUGUCUUUUAUGAAUAUAUGGUUUUCAUCUGUGUUCUUUUCCAACAUGAUGGAAAUCAGGAAUGGUUACUAUGGAUCGGUAGUUGAAAUCUGUCUAUAUCGUCAACAAUGACUGAUGUCAGCCUUAUGAUCCUCCUAGUUGUAUUGUCUGAGAAGACAUAUAUGCAUACCUCAAAACUCAACUCAUUGUCUCAUUUAUCUUCCGUUAUUUUUGUCAAAUCGACAACGAUGAGGCCAAUGUCUCAGUCAUAAGGGCGAAUAGGACCAUCGCUUUCUACUUCUGCAGUACGGCGUAAGUCUCGGUUGAUGUUUCGUGCAGCUUAAAUGUUGAUCCACGGUGAUCCACUGUAGAACCGUCCUAUAUUUAUUAUUUAUGCCAGAAUCGCAAAGUUCUUUGUUAUCUUCAAGUUUAACUUAACAAAAUUUGAACAGGGCUAUCUAAAUAGCAGUCUCUAUUUUUGCUUUUCAGCAUGCUUUAUAUUUAUAUGUAAGGAUUUAAGGUAGUUGCUAUUCGUUCAUUAUUAGAAAUUCUUAACACCAAAUCAUGGUGACAUUUGAGUUCCGGUAAUUAUUAUUUUCGAAUGACAUGAGUUCUGGUAAUAUAACUUGUACAGUGGUUAGAGGACAGGUGGUUAGAGGAGGAAAGAGUUAAGAAAGGCUUAUGGUUGGUGUGGCAUGCGACGAUUUGGGUUUUGUGGAAGGGGAGGAAUAAUAGAAUUUUUAAUGAUGGCGUUGAGUUCGUCGAUGAUUUGGUGGAGGAGAUAAAGGUGUUAUCGUGGCGAUGGGCUAUGUCUAGGUUACACAUGCAGACCGUGUAUGUUUUUUGAAUGGUCUUAGAACCCGAAAGAGUGCCUGCUACGGUAAUUGGUUUUGUGCAGUUUUUGCUGGUUUUUGGUGCUGUUUUGUGUUGGGUUAGGGGUUACCUGUGUUGCAGUGUCUCUUUUGUUGAGUUUUUGAGCCGGGUUUGGAGUCUGCUGUGCGGCUGGCUGCCUAGUUUUGGUCUCGGGCCUGUAGCUGUUUGGGAGGAUGUUAGUUCUGUUUGGUGGCCUUAGUGGUGUGCCACGGUUUUGGGUGCGUGGCGCAGUUUUUCUGUUCUGUCAUGGCAGGGUGUUGCUGUUGCAGCAGUGGCUGACUUUUUUUUUUGGUUUGUGGGUGUGCUCGGUUGUGAUGCAGGGGUAUGCUUUUGUUGCCUUUAGCUGAGUUGGGAGUGGCCUUGCGGUGCUGGUCACUUGUUGUAUAUGCCGGCUUCAUGUCUGAGUUUUCUUGGUGUUUUGGAGUGCCGCCUAUAUACGGCCUCCUCUGUAAUUUCUGCUGGUUUUUUCCGCGAGCUGUGGGUGUGUCUUAAACCCUCUCGUCGAUGAAUAAUAUUCGCUGUUUCAAAAAAAAAAAAAAAAAACUUGUACAAUUACUAAAAGGUCUUAUUUGGCAUGUUUCAUUCUGCAAUUUGUCUCAUGCUUGUUUGUAUCAUUCAUCUAGUAGUUUCUUUUAGUAUUUUGGCAUGUAAAACUACUCAAAUAUAGUGAAGCAAAAUACCAUGAUCAGUUCAUACUUGUUAUGAUUUUGGCAACAGGCGGGGGAGGAACGCUUUUCAAUUGAUAUCGAAUAGAAUAAUUAACUUUUGUAUGUGAUACUACCCAUAUGCGAUGCUUAGGCAAAAACACUUUGCUCAUGAGUCUGCCAAGGUAAUGCCAAAACACGUUAACUCUUCAAAAUCCUAAUGUAGAUAUAUACCUUAUUUGCAACAUUGUUCCAGACUUCCGGUACUAUGGAGUAAUAAUUAUAUGCAUUGAUAAUAAAUUCUCAGCUGAGAACAAAUCAAGACAGAAACAGGCUGGACUGUAUCAAGAGAACAUGUAGAAGCUGGAUUGUAAAUUAAAUAAAACUAAACUAAAAAAUAUUUAGUUUUUUUUACAUCAAAAAAAGAAACUACAGUAGUAUUAGUACAGCGACGAAACUCUGACCAAGUUUCUCAUAUGCUUGAUACUUCCUAUCAAUUCAAACUUGAAAAUGCAAAAUUAAUCACAUUUGCAUAAAUGCCAUCGGUAAGGAUCAAUGAAUAACCAUCUUGCAGGAUAACUCAGUUGGGAGAGCCAUGCUCACCGCAUUUAUUCUUUUUUAUUACUAUUGAAUUAAAAUCAGCAUGAAAUUAGGAUGGAAUAAUCACCACAUUUUACUUUGUUUGGUCGAAAAUUUGUUGAAGGUCUUUAAUUAAUUAAUAACCCUUUUCCAUACUUAUGGAAUAUAUGAUGCUUAUAUUUAUAUCAGACUCACAAAUUCGGUGUUCCUUUCAGUCAAUUCGUAUGGUAUGACUCGUGCUUGAUUUCAUUCUUUUAGUAAUGUCGCAUUCAAAACUACUCAAAUAAGGUGAAACCUAAUUGGUGUUGAAUGUUAAUCUUUGUGCAAAUGAUUGCUGAGUUUUUCUUUAGUUUAAAUAUGUUAUGAUUUUGGCAACAGGCAGGAGAAUAACACUUUUCAAAUGAGAUUUGAUGAAAAGAACAAUCAAGUUUGGUAUGAAAUAGUUCAUAAAUCUGUCAAGGUAAUGGUGAAACACAUUAACUAUUUUUUUUUUUCCUUAAAAAACCUGAUGUUAAUAUUGUACAUUAUUUGCAAUAUUGUUCCAGCACUGCGGAAUAAUAAUUAUAUGCAUAACAAAGAGAAUAUAUAGAAGUUGUCAUUCAUUCUGAUGUACAUAGCCUUCCAUCCUUAAGUUACACAGUUUAAUUUAAUCUCAUUAUAUACUUGUAGCAGAACAAACAGCCCUUAGCAAAGAGUAUUGUCUACAUUCUGCACUUCUUUAGGGGAGAGGUCCUCUUCUGCAUAUUGACCCUCUUAACUGUUUGAAUGAAAAAACACAUAUCAGUAUUGAUAGUGGAUUCAUAUAAUACCUAAUUGCCAAAAGAAAGUAUUCUAUAUGCUUUGAUUGAAUCAACUCAUUAUUCUUGCAUCUCUAAAGAUAUAAAUAAAGAAAAAAAUUUAUUUUAUACAAAUUUUGUCACAGACAGCAUAUGCACCGUAUAUCCUUUAUUACAUGAUAUGUAGCACCAAGACGUGUUCGGUAUCUGAGAUUGACACCGACAAUGUGAUUAUAUUCAAUUUAUUCAUUUUCUCAAAUUAUUACCGGUAUUGACAUGUUACGUGUAUGUGUCAGUGCUAUAUAGAUUACAUGGUUAAGGCAAUUCAUAUACAUGAUUAAUUACACCUAGUAAAUGGUUAAGAUAUAUCAUGUAUAUUUGAACAUAAUGAUCUUUUGGCACAACAUUGUUCACUUCUUUAUACAUGUUCAAGUAUAUGUUUAAUCACAUUCAGUAGAUGAUUAAUGAAUAUAUCAAGAUAUUUUAACUAUUAAUCGUAAUUAACCGUGUAUUUGAAAUGUAUUAUACAUGACAUUCAUUAACCAUCCAGUCAACAUAAGUAACUAUGUAUUUGAAUUGCAUUACUCAUGAAUAUACAUUAACCAUCUACUUAAUGUAACUAACCAUGUAUUUUAACUGUGAUAACCAUUUAAUAAAGUUCAAAUGUAUUGUGAACAGGGGGAUAAGGUGUUUGUACAGUGUCAACAAAUUCUGUGUCUAAAUACUACAGCUGAUAACAAAAUGGCAACUAGCCAAUCACUUGUGUAAGUUAUGCUCAUACGAUAAGCUGAAUACCACAUUAUCAAGACAUAUAGAGAUAGGAAGAGAAAUCCAAUUGUGCCUUUGAAAGUCAAUAGCUAGAGAUGUUAUGUCAUCUUUUUUUUGAAACAACUUUUAUAUUCAAACCACCAAAUACCAUACAAGACGUACGAUAGGGGCUAAAGAAAGGAACAACGAUAACAGAAGGCCCGAGAUAGCGGUAACCCCACAGAAAACGCAGAAAAUAAACAACCUAAGCUGAAAACAAAUCGGCCCCUACAAAAUACAGCAGGCAGAAACCAGCUGCAACACCAGGAGAACACAGCCAAGCAAACCCCUAAAAACCACCCUAUCUAAGAAGGCAAAUCUUAGGAUUCUAACAUCUCAUCCAAGGUGAACGAGACCACAAAGUCUUGUCAAUGCAAGGAUUAAAAUUAACCAUAGUGAUUCUAUGAUCAUCCAAAUUAUACAUACGAGCAUCAUAAGUAUCCCUAAAGUAGAUGCAGUUCCCUUGAUAUCCAAUUAAGUCUUUAGUUGAAACAGAGAAGUUACAACUUUUGCUCAAAAUGAAAGCUCUGUCUCUCAAGUUUUUCACAUCAACCCAUUUUCCCCAUUCUUCAUCCAACUUAUAAACUUUGAAACAUUCAACAUCAGUGUCUCGAUCGUAGCGUCUUCUAACAUAGUUCCUUCCCAUAUCGUCACUAAUUUCAUAGUAUCUGUCAACAACAUAAAGACUUCCACAUGACUCCAUCAAAUGCUUCUUGUUUCCAAAACCACACAAAGGAGGUGAAAAUUGUAUCAAUCUCAAAGUAGAGACAUCAAUCCAUGAAAUAGUUCCCCACUUAUCAGUAACAUAAAACUGACCCUUGAACACAAUAAUAUCAUCAUAGUAGAAAUUCUUGUCAUCCACAAGUGUCCAUUUUUCAUCACCAUGUUUCAUGAGUCCUAAUUUACCCUCUUGAAAGAUACAACAAGCUACACAAUCCUCAACACUAGUCCAAGGAGAGUUAGGAUAGAACGCAACUUUGAUCGCAGAACUAGAGAAAGGUGUAGUUUUUUCAAUUUUAUAUGAUUUGCAUAGCUCAAUGACCCUAUAAUCCAACAAGUUCCAUAGCAUGGGAGAAGUGUUGUUAUUGCUAAGAGGGUAUGAUAGUUUUCGGUCAGAGAUAGGACUCAACAAACUCACAGGUUGAUUCUUUGUUUCUUCUACCUUAAUCAACCAACCUUUGGAAGAAGAAGGUGCUAAAGGUUCUAAAUUGGAGUUGGAACUUGCAUCAGUUGGUUCAAUGAUAUAAACAGUGGAUUGGUUGACGUAGUUGUUUAGGGAGUUGUAGACGGGGUGAGGUAUUUGUAAAGGAAAAGAAGGAGAAUUUGGAUGAGAUGGAGGAAUGGAAGAACGAAAUGAUUCGCAGACACUGCGAAAUCUGAGAACAUCUAUGUGAUUAUCAAGAUAUUUUCCUAUCUUAGGCCAUAGUUCUAUAGGGAGUUGAGACCAAUCUACUAUCUCAUCCAUGGAUGAAGAGGAAUCAGAUCUCAAAGAUUUGUUGACUUUGCUGAAGAGUGAUAUCAUGUUAUAUUGAUGUAUUUGCUUUGGAUGUUUUUGGUCUCUAAUCUCUAUAUAGGACUUUUUAUUGGAAGGAAUGUUGGAAAAAGUUCAAGCGUAAUGAGUGUAGAAAAUACCUGUGAGUUUACAAGGUGACUGAGAAAAGAGGUGUAAUGGAAAUUGCAAGUAGAGUGAAGGAAGACUAGUAGAGAUCUUGUUGGUUAAGUUUCCACAAUUAGGUUCUUUCUGGGAAGGAUACUAGGAACAGUUGACUUGAAAAGUCGUCUAAUAGUCUUCUCUGAAUAAUAAAAUUAUAAGAUUAAACCAUCGAUUUAAUCUCCCAAGUAUCAAUCAGUCUCCUAUUUAGUCUCUACAAUAUAUAAAUAUAAAUAAUAAUUAAUCAUUAAAAUAUAUGAAAUUUGUCAAGUUUUUUUUUUAAACGUCAAAUGUUAAUAUUGUUAUUUGUUAGAAUUAUGGGAGUGGAGAUCGAACCCUCAAGCCUCAACCUUCUUAUUAUGCCAAUCCCUAAACUAUAUGAAAUCCGUCAAUUAGUCAUUGUUGGACAUAUAUUAACAAGAAUUUCUUGGGCACUAGGGAGACAAAUCUCAUAUGAUCUAGUAAUAUUAAAAAAUAAAAACUCAUUUGAGUUUGGUUUGAGACCUUGAAUUAUGCUUAUCCUCAAAAUCUCUUGCUUGACAAUUUUGAUAUAGCUUUUUGGGUAUUUUUUAUAUAGUUUAAAGUCUAAAUAAGAGAAAGAAUGUAUAACUUGAGGGAUCACCAAUAAAUUAAUACAGCUUUGAUGUUUGGAACUAUGGGAAUUUUUUAUUGAAGAGUUUUUUAAUAUAUAUUUAUUUAUUUCGGUAUUAUGAGAUAAUUGUUGCAACUUUGAAUUAUUUAAGGAUCUUGUUAACCAUUGCUGUAAGGACAAUGGUUAAGGAAACCAAAAGUGGUAUACUUACAUUGAAUUCACGGCACUAUUUAGCAUCUUCCAUUAUUUAAUUAUCUGGUUUUUUUUAUUUAAAAAUAUUACUAUCAAAAAUGAAUUUAUAAGCUCAAACAAAAACAAAAUACAAUAUACUCUACUAUAAAAACAAUUACAUAAUUUUCCACCAGAAAUUUAUAACUGCAAUCUAGCAAAAACCACCAUUAAUAAACAAAAAAAAAAAAAAAAUUAAACUAAUAUUGCAGAGCCCUCAAUAAAGAAGACUCUUCCAAAAACUAGCGUAUGCCGCUAAUUGUGACGCUCACACGGUAUUCUUUAGUAAAAGGCGAAAGAAUAGUUCGCUAUGUGAUCAUCACACGGCUCCGUGAUUUUUUAGAGGAAGAAGUGCUUUCAUUUUAUAUGCAAGCAGCUUGGUUGGGUUUAUGCAUUAGCCGAUGUGGGGCUUUUUAGCCAGACACCCACUCACUUUUCCCCUUUCCUUUCUUUCUACUUGACAGAGCAGAACUUGUCAGAAUCUUCCCCUAUUCACUCAACUCAUCAACACACUUACAUGGAAUGUUUAACAUCAUUCUAGAUUUCUUCCAUAUCUGAAAGCUAGAAGAUUUAAACAUUUGUUGAAGCUUUCCUUCCACAGAAACAGGCCAAGGUGUACAUUUGUGCUUGGUUUGCUAUAUAGUAUAUUCCCCAUGAAACAUAUUAAAAUUCUCCUUCCUUCUCAAACAGACUGAGGUGUACAUCUGUCCUUGGCUAUCCCUUACAAAUCCUAUGCUUCAAAUAUUGCUUUUUAUUUUGUAAGUCUUGCAUUCAGCUCCAUCUAUUUAUACCAAUGCCAAAGAUGCCGCAAGCCAACCGUUUUAUUAUAAUUAGUCAAUUUUUCAAAAGUACUUAUUUCUUGCAGGCUGAAGCAGUUGUUAGUUGUUACUUGUUAGCACUUAUUUGGCAUGUCUAGCUAGUAAGUAAUCAAGUGAUCAAUGUUCAGCCGUUGUAUCAGCAUUCGCCCAGGUAAUGUUUCAAAUGAAUAAAAGGAGAAAGGAUAAACAAGAAUAAUAUAGAAGUAGGUUGGAUCAUUGUUCAAGCUACAUAUAUAUUUUAGAACACAUUUUAUGUCAAUUGUAUCUUUGUAGAUAAUUGAAUUGCCAUUAAAAAAAAAAAAAAUUGAAUUGGCAUUCUAUUCUUGAAUUAUAUUUGUCUUUAUUUUUCCCAUCAUUACUGGAUUUUGGCAGUGCAAAUUAAUCAGUAUCAGUUACAGCCCUCCAACUGAAGACAAUAUUCACUGUCGCGGAUCUAUUAUCAGCCUAUGUACAACUGAUGAGGAAGACAAUAUAACAUCUACUUCAUUGUCGCGGAUCUAUCUUCAACCUAUGUACAUACAACUUGGACAAUCACAUAUUCUCUUGACUUUACUAUGAUCCUUGCAUUGACAAGAAUUUGUGGAUUCAUCAUCCACUUUGGCUUGGAGGAUGUAAUUGGUCUCAAUGUUAAUUUGAUCAAGUCGCUGACUGAUAUAUGAUGUAAUUCAUCCACAUAUUCUUUAUAUGAGAAACUCUGACCUGAUUUCUCAUAUGGUCCUCCAUCAUUUUAAACUAGGAAAAAAUAUUAUGGUUUUCACGAAUGCAAUUACAAAUCAGCACAAAGUAAUCAUCAUGCGGGGAUAGCUCAGUUGGGAGAGCGUCAGAUUGAAGAUCUGAAGGUCGCGUGUUUGAUCCACGCUCACCGCAUUCUUUUUAUGUUUUUUUCUUUAUUUUUUUUAUUAGAAAAGGCAGUAUAUGCAUGGAAUUAUAAUUAUAUAUACAUUGACAAUAAAUUUUCAGCUGGUUACUUCUUUUUCCCUUGUCUUUUUGAUUUUCUUUACCUCUUUUUCUCAUUGAAAAUUUGAAGUAUCUUAUUUCAGCAUCUUUAAUGAAUACAUGGUUUUUGUCUAUUCUCUUUUUCAGCAUGAUGGAAAUAAGGAAUUAUUACUAAAUACAAAUACAUGUGCUAAAUUAUAAUCCUUUCCAGACUUCUCUUUUGGAUUGGCUAUUGCAAUGGAAUAUUAGUUUUCAAUCACGAAGGUCGUCCAAUGUAAGUUCUAUGGUGAAUUUUAUGAAGUACGGAUACGGACACCGGACAUGACAUGGUCACUGACACGCCGACACAGUUAAUAAUUUGAAAAAUCACAUAAUUCAGUGUAAUUACAAGUUUCGGUGUCAGACACGACACAUGUCCGACACCAGGACACGCCUAAUCCAAGGUGUGUCCAUGCCUCAUAGAAUGAAUUGUACAUCGGUACUUGAAAAUUCGUCUUAAACUUCAAUGAUUACCGACGUUGGUCCGUGAAGUAAGUUUACUGUCGUCCUAAUUGUUAUACCAAAGACAUUGACAUGAUUGGUUUCAAUUUGGCAAAAACAAAAGAAGACAAAUAUGCGUGUCUCAAAAAUCAACUCAUAUUUGUUUUUUUUUUUUUUUUUUGUCAAACCAACAAGGAUCAGAUUAAUGUCGCUAGCUGCGUAAGUUUUGUGCAGUUUUUAAGUGUUGGUCCACGGUGAUCCAAAGAAGAACUUGCUUAUAUUUGUAUCAGAAUUCUUGGUGAUCUUCAAGCUUAACUUAACAAUUUUUUAGUAGCGCUGUCUACAUAACAAUCCCUAUGUUGCUUUUGAGUUUUGAAGAAAAUGUUUUAGAUACUAUUUACUUGCAAGGGUUUAAGUAAGUUACUUCUCAUUCAUUUCAGAAAUUCUUUACAACAAAUUGUUGAACCAAGUGAUUUCUGGUAUAACUUGUACAAUUACUAAUAAGGUCACAUCUAACAUGAUUUAUUUUGCACUCAUUCACUAUGCAUAUGAUGGUUAUAUGUGUGAGAUAGCAAACAAAACUCAAUCACGCAGUUCGUCGCAGUUUUAAAUAUCAACCAUUGAUUUUAGAUUGAAUGACUCAGAUUACAUUCAUUUAAUUUAUUGUAACUGAUCUCAACCAUUGAUUUAGACGGACAUUCGAGAUCAGUUACAGCAGCUAUUCUGAUUCCAUACUUAUUUUGAUUCAGUCUGAUCCCAUACUUUAAAUUGACAAUAACUUGCCUUGUCAUUUUUCUUCUUCUAUGCAUAUAUAAAUGAUGUGUUUUAGUGUCUUUAGCAUCCAUAAUAAUAGUUGACACAUGUUGUGUUUCUACAUUAUUUUCUGAAUAUUCUAGAGAAAAGCUUUCUGAGGCAGUGAGGCUCACUUGUCUCAAUGAUGAUGCUAAAUUUUAAGAACAAAUCUCAAGGAGGCGCCUACACCAAUAAAAGUAAAAACCACCUUUAAUAUUAAUUUUAAUAAACUUCAAAAAAAAUUAGACAAAAACAUUUUACUGAUUUGCAGAGCCCUCAAUAUAGAGGACUCUUCUAAAAACUAACGUAUGCCGCUAAUUGUGACGUUCACACGGUAUUCUUUAGUAAAAGGCGAAAGAAUAGUUCGCUAUGUGAUCAUCACACGGCUCCAUGCUUAUAAAAGGUAGAAGUGCUUUCAGUUUAUAUGCAAGCAGCUUGGUUGGGUUUAUGCAUUGGCCGAUGUGGGACUUUUUAGCAAGACACCCACUCACUUUUCCCCUUUCCUUUCUUUCUAAUUGACAGAGCAGAACUUGUCACAAUCUUCCCCUAUUCAAUCAACUCAUCAACACACCUACAUGGAAUGUUUAACAUCAUUCUAGAUUUCUUCCAUAUCUGAAAGCUAGAAGAUUAAACAUUCAUUGAAGCUUUCCUUCCACAGAAACAUUCAUGGAAGAUUGCAUAUGCUGGAAAUUCUUUUUUAUAUACAAGUGUUGAGUUAUAAUACAUGCUUCCUUGUGUUUAAUGUUGAGGAUGGUAGAGUGAAAACCUUGCAUUCAGCUCCAUCUAUUUAUACCAAUUCCGAAGAUGCCGCAAACCAAUGUUUUAUUAUGAUUAGUAAAUUUUCCAAAUGUACUUAUGUCUUGCAGGCUGAAGCAGUUGUUUGCUCUUAUUUGCAUGUCUAGCUAGUAAGCAAUCAGGUAAUCAAUGUUCAGCCCUUGCAUCAAUGUUGUGAAGGCAUCAACUUGAGAUUACACGAUUCAGAUGAGUAAAAUGAGAAGGAAAAAAAAAAUGAAUAAUAUAGAAGUAGGUUGUAUCAUUGUUCAAGCUACAUAUAUAUUUUUAGGACUCAUUUUUCAUUUUAUGUCAAAUGUAUCUCUGUAGAUAAUUGAAUUGGCCUUCUAUUCUUGAAUUAUAUUUGUCUUUAUUUUUCCCCAUCAUUACUGGAUUUUGGCUGUGCAAAUUAUUAAAUAUCAGUUACAGCCCUCCAACAGAAGACAAUAUUCACUGUCGCGGAUCUAUCCUCAGCCUAUCUACAAUUGAUGGGGAAGACAAUAUAACAUUUACUUCACUGUCGCGGAUCUAUCUUCAACCUAUGUACAUACAACUUGGACAAUCACAUAUUCUCUAGACUUUGCUAUGAUCCUUGCAUGGAGAAGAAUUUGUGGAUUCAUCCACCUUGGCUUAGAGGAUGUAAUUGGUCUCAAGGUUAAUUUGAUCAGUUCACUGAUAUAUGUUGUUAUUCCAACAGUUAAGAGCUUCUACAAGCGAAACUCUGACCUGAUUUCUCAUAUGGUCCCCCAUCAUUUCCAACUAGGAAAAAUUAUUCUAGUUUUCAGGAAAGCAAUUACGAAGCAGCACUGAAUAAUCGUUAUGCGGGGAUAGCUCAGUUGGGAGAGCGUCAGACUGAAGAUCUGAAGGUCGCGUGUUCGAUCCACGCUCACCGCAUUUUUUAUGAUCUUUUUCUUCUACUUUUUUAUUAGAAAAAGCAGUAUAUGGAGUAGUAAUUAUAUAUGCAUUGACAGUAAAUUUUCAGCUGGUUACUUCUUUUUCUCUCGUCUUUGUCAUUUUCUUUACCUAUUUUUCUCUUUAUUAUGUGUAUGAUUGAAAAUUUGAAGUAUCUUACUUCAUCAUCUUUAAUGAAUACUUGGUUUUUGUCUAUUCUCUUUUCCAGAAUUAUGGAAAUAAGGAAUUAUUUCUAAAUACAAAUAUAUGUGCUAAAUUAUAACCCUUUUCCAGGCUUCUCUUUUGGAUUGACUAUUUCAAUGGAAUAUUAGCUUUCAAUCACGAAGGUCGUCCAAGGUAAGUUCUAUGGUGAAUCAUAGAUCGGUAUUUGAAAAAUCGUCUUAAACUUCAACGAUUACCGAUGUCAGUCCCUGAAGUAGAAGUUUAUUGUCCUCCUAAUUGUGUUGCCAAAGACAUCGACAUGAUUGGCGUCAAUUUGGCAAAAAUAAAAAAAGACAAAUAUGUGUCUCAGAAAUCAACUCAUAUUUGUUUAUUUUAUUUUUGUCAAACCGACAAGGAUCAGGUUACUAUCGCUGGCUGCGUAAGUUUUGUGCAGUUUUUAAGCGUUGGUCCAUGAUGAUCCAAAGUAGAACUUGGCUACAUUUAUAUCAGAAUUCUUGGUGAUCUUCUAGCUUAACUUAACAUUUUUUUACUAGCACUAUCUACAUAACAAUCCCUAUAUUGCUUUUGAGUUUUGAAGAAAAUGCUUUAGAUACUAUUUACUUGCAAGGGUUUAAGUAAGUUACUUCUCAUUCAUUUCAGAAAUUCUUUACAACAAAUUGUUGAACCACGUGAGUUCUGGUAUAAGGUCGCAUACUCGCAUCUAACAUGAUUUAUUUUGCAGUCAUUCACUAUGUGUAUGGUGGUUUUCUGUGUGAGAGAGCAAACAAGACUCCAUCACGCAGUUCGUUGCAGUUUUAAAUAUCAACCAUUGAUUUGAGAUUGAAUGACUCAGAUUACACAUUCAUUCAAUUUAUUAUAAUUGAUCUCAAUCGUUGAUUUAGACGGACAUUCGAGAUAAGUUACCGCAGCUAUUCUGAUUCCAUACUUUACAUAGACAAUAACUUGCCUUGCUGAAAAUUCUAGAGAAAAGCUUUCUGAGGCAGUGAGGCUCACUGUCUUACAGACUUGCAUCCAGUUAUAAAGAGCUGUCUCAAUGAUGAUGCUAUUUUAUAAGAACAAUCUCAAGGAAGUGCCUAAAUAAAAGUACUAUAAAGUAUUUACGAAUAGUAUAAAGUACUAUAGAAGGAGUAGGAAAUGAACAAGAAUAAUAUAGAAUUUGGUUGUAUCAUUGUUCAAGAUACAUAUAUAUUUUUAGGACACAUUUUUCAACUUAUGUCAAUUGUAUCUCCGUAGAUAAUUGAAUCGGCUUUCUGUUCUUGAAUUAUAUUUGUCCUUGCUUUUUUUUUCUCCGUCAUUACUGGAUUUUGGCAGUGUCAAUUACUCAAUAUCAGUUACAGCCCUCCAACAAAAGACGAUAUUCACUGUCGAGAAUCUAUCUUCAACCUAUGUACAACUUGAACAAUCACAUAUUCUCUAGACUUUGCGGAUUCAUCCACCUUGGCUUGGAGGAUGUAAUCGGUCUCAAGGUGAAUUUGAUCAAUUCACUCACUGAUAUAUGUUGUUAUUCCAACAGUUAAGAGCUUCUGUAUGAAAAACUCUCACCAUAUUUUUCAUAUGCUUCCCCAUCAUUUCAAUCUAGAAAAUUGUAAAAGUAUUCUAAUUCUCACAAAAGCCAUUACUAAACAGCACCAAACUAUCAUCAAUACAUGAUUAAUUAUGUUUUGAAAACGAUUAAAUGUAUGCUUUGAACAUUUGUUUUCAAAACUGGAAUUGUGCUACUCAGAACUAUAUUUUACAAUGACCAAAUACAUUAAUAAACACUUGAUCAAAUAAUUCUUUCUAUGGAACUUUGACAAGUCUAAAACAUCAUGUUUUUAUGCUUUAUGAAGGGCGAAAAGUUUGAAAAGCGAAAGGAUGAUAUUGAUAAGAUGAAUAUGGCUACACAUAAUCCAAAUCUUUAUAUUAUGUGUUUGGUUCAAGAUUUGGAGUAUUUCAUUGAGCAGUUUUAAUGAAUAUAUUAUGGUUUUCAUUUUUGCUCUUUUCUAGCAUGUUGGAGCUCUUUUCUAGCACGUUGGAAAUUAGGAUGAAUGAUUACUAAUUUACAAACCUAUGUGCUAAACUAUAACCCUUUACCAUACUUCUAUAGGAUUGACCAACAUUAUUUAGCAGUUAUGGUGUAACUGAACUUGGAUCCCUUAAACUAUGUCUCAUAUUUAAAUCUUGUGGAUGAUAAAAGUGUGGUUAAGAGGGGAAACCUGAGACCGCAUUAAUAGAGGUCGAUCGGUUGGAUUUUCCAAUAAAUACUAAUCAUUGACAAAGUUGGUUGAUACUUCACAUUAAUAACACGGUUAAGUUUGAAAAUUUCAAUGGAAUAUGGUGCUUAUAGUUAUAAUUAUAUCAGAAUCACAAACUUCUUUUUGUCGAUUAGUUUUUCUCAUGCUUGAUUUUAUCAUUCAUUUAACAAUUUAGCAAACAAAACUACUCAAAUAUGGUCAAACAGAAGUGGUGUUGAAUGUUAAUCUUAGUGCAAAUGAUUUCUAAGUUUGUCUCAACAUUGAUUGGUAUAUUGUAUAUGAUCUUUUCACAAGUAAAACUAUAAAAUAAAAUAAAAACAUUGUGCCCUGAUCUUUAAGGAAUAAUAAUUAUAUACAUUGACAACAAAUUCUCAGCUGAAAAUUAAUCAUGACAGAAGCAAGCUAGACAGUAACAAGAAAACAUGUAGAAGAUGUCAUUCUGAUGUACCAAGUCUUUCAUCCUCAAAACGACAUUCUGCACUUCUUUAUGGAGAGGCGUUCUUCUUCAUACAGACUCUUUUAACUGUUGGAAUGACGAAGCACAUAUCAGUACUGAUACAGGAUUCGUAAAAUAUCUAAUUAUAGAAAGGCAUAAAUAAUGAAAAAUAUCAUGAUACAAACUUGGACACAAACACUGUAUGCAUUCUUCAUCCUUUAUUACAUGGUUAACACAAUUCAAAAUCAUGGUUAAUUAUGUUUAGUAGAUGAUUAAUGAAUAUCAUGUAUAUGUGAGCGCAAUGACUUUUUUAACACAACACUAUUCAUUUCUUCAUUACAUGGUUAACACAGUUAAAAUAUAAUUAAUUACGUUCAAUGGAUGAUUAAUGAAUAUAACAAACAAGGUAUUGCAACUCAUUAACCAUCCAUUGAACACAAUUAACCAAAUAUUUAAACUGCAUUAUACAUAAAGCCCCCAAUUAACCAUCUACUGAACAUAAUGAAUCAUAUAGUUGAACUGUGUUAACCAUGUAAUAAAAUUUACAUGUAUUUGUGGAUAGUGACAUAAGGUGUUUGUAUAUUGCCAAUAAACUGUUUGUCAAAACAACACAGCCGAUAAAACCACAUUGCCAAGACAGAAAAAAAGAUGGGAAGAGAAAUCCAAAUGUACCUUUAAAACUCCAUUGCUAGACCUGUUAUGUGCUCUUAACAUCUCAUCCAACGUGAAUGAGACAACAAAGUCUUGUCAAUGCAAGGAUCAAGAUCAAUGGUAAUGAUUAUAUUAUCAUCCAAGUUGUACAUACGAGCAUUAAAAGUAUCCUUAAAGUAGAUGCAAUUCCCUUGAUAUCCAAUUAAUUCUUUAGCUGAAACUGAGAAAUUACAACUUCUGCUUAAAACAAAGGCUCUAUCUCUCAAAUUUUUCACAUCAACCCAUUUCCCCCAUUCUUCAUCCAACAUAUGAACUUUGAAACACUCCACAACCGCGUCUUGAUCAUGGUGUCUUCCAACAUUGUUACUUCUCAUGUUUUCACCUUCAUAGUAUCUAUCAACAACAUAAAGAUUCCCACAAGAUUCCACCAAAUGUUUCUUGUUUCCAAACCCACACAAAGGAGGUGCAAAUUGUAUCAACCUCAAAGAAGAAAUAUCAAUCCAUGAAAUAGUUCCCCAUCUAUCAGUAACAUAAAACAGACCCUUGAACACAAUGACAUCAUCAUAGAAGAAAUUGUUUUCAUCCACAAGUUUCCAUUUUGUGUCUCCAUAUUUCAUGAAUCCUAAUUUACCUUCUUGAAAGAUACAACAGGCUACACAAUCCCCAACAUUAAUCCGAGGAGAGUUAGGAUAGAACACAACUUUGCUCACAUAACUUGGUGAGUAUAGUGUCUUUUGAAAUGUAUAUGACUUGCAUAGCUCAAUGACCCUAUAAUUCAACAAGUUCCAUAUAAUUGGAGAACUGUUGUUACUGUCAAGAGGAUAUGAUAAUUUGCAGUCGGAGAUAGGACUCAACAAACUCUUCAAAGGAUUAUUAUUUGAUUCUUCCACUUUGAUCAACCAACCUUUGGUAUAAGAAGGUGCUAAAGGUGGUAAAUUGAAGUUGGAACUUCCAUUAGUUGGUUCAAUAAGAUAAAUAGUUGAUUGAUGAAGGUAAUAUAGGGAGUCAAAAAUGGUGUGAGGUAUUUGUAAAGGAAAAGAAGGAGAAUUUGGAUGAGAUGGAGGAAUGGAAGAACGAAAUGAUUCGCAUACACUCCGAAAUCUGAGAAUAUCUAUGUGAUUAUCAAGAUACUUCCCUAUCUUGGACCAUAGCUCUUUGGGGAGAUGAGACC